rnacentral:rRNA from 1 species
UACGAAGGGGGCUAGCGUUGCUCGGAAUUAUUGGGCGUAAAGCGCGUGUAGGCGGUCCGGUAAGUCGGUUGUGAAAGUCCAGGGCUCAACCCUGGGAUGCCGACCGAUACUGUCGGACUAGAGUUCGGAAGAGGCGAGUGGAAUUCCCGGUGUAGCGGUGAAAUGCGCAGAUAUCGGGAGGAACACCAAUGGCGAAGGCAGCUCGCUGGGACGUUACUGACGCUGAGACGCGAAAGCGUGGGGAGCAAACAGG